CAGAAUUGCGCCACCCUGACCAGGGGCUGGGCUGAGUAAUCCACUUGGGUUUGCUUUCAGGAGCUUUUGUCCCCUGAGCGCUUUCCAUAGAGUUCUGGAGGACGGGAAUGAAAAUGGCAGCCUCCUGAUCUCCAGCCCGGAGGAGCCGAGAGCCCGGGGCCCCACUCCUCAGUGCGCCCUCAGAGAACAGCGCCCAAUUUUUCCUGUCUCCUUGGCCUCCGGCCGUGCUCCGAGUUCACCAAGCCUGCGACCAGUUCAAGGGGUCGAUAUGACAUGGGACCAUCAAAGAGUUCAAGUUGGCCACAGCUCAUACAGUUGACAACAAGAGAAAUCAAAUGACAGAUUCAAGUUGGCAAUCUGGAUCCUCAAAUUCUGUCAAAGCUGCAAUUUCACUGGAGAGAGACACAGAGGGAAGACAGCCAUGUAAAGAUGGAGCCAGAGAUUGAGUGACGUGUCCACAUCUAUGGAAUAGCAAGAAUCGCCGGAUGUCACCAGAAUCCAAGACAGGCAUGGAACAGAUUCUCCCUCAGAACCCUCAGAAGGAAGUGACCCCGCCAACACCUUGAUUCUAGACUUCUAGCCUCUAGAACUGGAAGAGAAUACCUUUAUGCGUUUCAAACCUCCCAAUUUGUGGGACUUUGUUAUGGCAGCCCUAGGAAACUAAUACACAUGCUACAUACACAGAGAAAAAUAAAAAUAAGUAAGAGUGUGGAGAGGGAGUAUUGGGUGGGGAGCUAGCUCUUUAUAAAGAUUACUCAGGGAGAACCACAGCUAAGAUGGUAUUUGAACAGAAACUUGAAACAAGGAGGAACCAGACAAGCAGAUCUCUGGGGGAGAACCUAUCAGGUUAGGACACAGCCAGGCAAACCUCCAAAGGGAGAGCAAACUGGAUGCGUAUGUGCCUAGAGAAAGUGGAUGCUGGUCAGAGGGGUGGGUGUAAAGGCAGUGAUGGUGCCUGAGGGCUUUUACUAGCAGAGCAAUUGGAAUAUUUUUGAGGGUUUUGGAUAGAACAGUGAUUAUCUAGUUACUCUGCUGAACAUAAACUGUCAUGGGGCCAGAAAGGAAUCGGGAUGAAGGCCCAUUCAGUAGCUAUGGAAAUCAUCCCACCAAAAGAUGAAGGUGGUUUGGGCCAGGAUGGUUGCAAUGAAGAUGAGAUAGAGAGGUGAGUUCUUUUAGGUUCUAAGUUCUAGCACAGUCGAAAGGCAGCGCUGGUAGGUUUUGCUGAAGGACUGGAUAUGCGAUAUGAAAAAGUCAAAGAGAGGUGCCUGGUGGGAAAAGUCCAUUAAGGGUCUAAUCCCUGGUUUCAGUUCAGGUCAUGAUCUCAGGGCUGUCAUCUCAGGGUCGUGAGAUCAAGCCCCAUGUUGGGCUUCAUGCUCAGGAGGGAGUCUCCUUGAGGAUUCUCUCCCUCUUCCUCUGCCCCUCCCCCCAGUUCAUGCAUGUGCUCUCUCUCUCAAAAAUAAAUUUAAAAAAAGAGGGGCACCUGGAUAGCUCAGUCGGUUAAGUGACUAACUUCAGCUCAGGUCAUGAUUUCCAGGUCCUGAGAUAGAGCUCCAUUUCAGACUCCAUGCCCAGUGGGGAGUCUGCUUUUUCCUUUCUCUCUGCCCCUGCCCCUGCUCAUGCUCUCUCCCCCUCUCUCUCUCUCAAAUAAAUAAAAUCUUUUUUAAAAAUUAAAAAAUUCUUAAAAAAAAUUUUUUUUAAAGAUUUUAUGUAUUUAUUUGACAGAGAGAGAUCACAAGUAAGCAGAGAGGCAGGCAGAGAGAGAGGAAGGGAAGCAGGCUCCCUGCCAAGCAGAGAGCCCGAUGCGGGACUCGAUCCGAGGACCCUGAGAUCAUGACCUGAGCCGAAGGCAGCGGCGUAACCCACUGAGCUACCCAGGGGCCCUAAAUUUUUUUUUUAAAAAAGUCAAAGAAAGCUUCAGACAAGGUUGAAGAUCUGUGUAGGUCAAGGAUAGAGUCGCCAUUUGCUGAGAUGGGAAUCUGGGAUGCAGGUUAGUUAGGAGUUUAACUUGGACCUAUUAACUUUAAUACAUCCAUGAGUCAUAGAGAUGCCACAGAGAUGGCAGAUAGGCAGGAUUUGGGGUGAGUAGCUCUGAAGAUAGAAUUGGGGAGUUGGCAGUAGAUGGAUGGUAUUUGAGGCCAUGGUAAUUGAUGGAAUCACUUGGCAAGUGAAUACACCUGGAGAAGACAAGCAUCCUGAGGCCUUAGGACUGAGUCCUGGGGCACCUCCCACUGUUGGAAAUUGGAGAGGUUCCACAAAAGAGAUUUAGAAGAUGCUAAGGAAGAGAACAAAGAGAGAAUGAGAGAGAUAUCCCAGCAGCUAAAUUAAAAAAAAAAAAAAAAAAGUAUUGAGAAGGGAACGGUGAAUUAUUAUGCAAUCAUUAAAAAUAAUGUAUUUUAAUCUUAAUGUUACAGAAAUAGGGUGAUAUAAGGUGAAGGGAAAAAAACUAGGGCUCCAAAGUACAUAGAGCAAAGUGUUAAUUUGUUUCAAAGAAACCUAUGUAGGCAUAGAAAAAUAGAAUGAAAGGAAGUAUAGCAAUGCAAACAGUUAAUUCUAAUUUUUACUAGAGGAUGACGUUUGUUUUCUGCUCUUAGAGUAAUUUCCAGGUUUUUGCUAUGAACUUAUAUUUUAAUAAAUGUAUAUAUGAGAUUCAUAAAAUCAUAAUAGCAAAGAAUUCAGCAUUCAGUUUUUCAAAAGUUAAAAAUAUGUAACACUUGAAAAGACUUUUAAGCAAAACAGUAGAAACUGUUGAUAUAUUAUGUGGUUAAGUGGUUUUGCUUGAUUUCAGUUUGCUUUUUUUCUCCCCCCAAAAAAUCAGGAAAGUAUUAAGAUUUUUUUCACUUGCAUUAGAAUCAUCUCUCCUCAGAAAGGAGCAGUAUAAUUAAAAUAGCAUCUGAUUAUUUUUAAUUCACUUAAAUAAUCAUUUCUACAGAUAUAUAGAGGAUGGGUUUCCAUUUUCAAAUGUUAGGGCUUCAGUAAAAUAAGUCAGACAGAGAGAGACAAAUACUAUAUGAUCUCACGUCCAUGUGGAAUCUUAAAAAACCCUAAACUCCUAGAAACAGAACAGAUUGGUGGUUACCAAAGGUGGGGAUUGGAGGAGGUGGACAAAAUGGGUGAAGGGGAUCAAAAGGUACAAACUUCCAGUUAUAAAAUAAAAAAGUCAUGAAGAUAUCAUGUACAUGAAGAUACAGCACAGUGACUAUAAUUAUUAAUACUGCAUUGUAUCUUUUGAAAGUUGCUAAUAGAGUAGAUCUUAAAAGUUCUCAUCUCAACAAUAAAGAAAGUUUUAACUAUGUAAGGUGAGAGAUGUUCAGGAAACCUAGCGUAGGGAACAUUUUUGAAGUAUAGACAUAAAGCAAAUCAUUAUGUUGUAUACCUUAAACUUCUACAAUGUUAUAUGUUGAUUAUAUCUCAGAAAAACUGGAAAAUAAAAUAAAAUUUAAAAACCAAAUAAGUAAAUAAAUAAAUAGGAAAAAAAAGUUAGGGUUUCAAUGUAACCUUAAAUCUUAAUAAGUCUAUGUCCUGGUUUUCUCAGGUUAAAUGAGCUUGAUGGACCUUCCACGCUCCCCAGCAUGGUUGUAAGACUAUUGGAGUAAAUUUAGUUGGUACAGACUGUGGUCUUGCCCCUUAUCAGCGGCAUUCUAAGAACCCCCUACCCCACCAUGGAUGCCUGAAACCACGGAUAGUUUUGAAUUCUAUGGUUUUUCCUGUACCUAUAGAUACCAAAAUUGAAUUGACAAAUUAGGCAGAGAGAUUAACAACAACAAUAAUAAAGUAGAACAGUUACAACAAUAUACAGUAAUAAAAGUUAGGUGAAAUGUUGUCUCUCUCUCUCUCUCCCUCAAAUGAUCUCACGGCACUGGACUCAAUCUUCUUUUUGUGAUGAGAAAUGAUGAUGAAAGAAGUGAUGAAAUGUCUGCGCCGUGAGAUGCAGUGAGGGGAGUGACACAGGCCUUAUGACAUCCUUCGCUGGGGCCCACCACAGGCCUGGGGACAACACACACUACUUCCACACUGCGGUUGACCGCGGGUGCCCCUAAGGAGGCAUUCUCCCUACCUGGGAAAGAGAAAGCAUCUGUCACGUGAUUAGCCUCUUGCUGAUAUGCACGUGUGAGUUCACCAAUCCGAGACCCGACUCACUUCCUAUUUCUGUAAAAUGUGGGCUAAUCAUACACACAGCCAGGGUGGCUGUGAGGGCGAAACACUGGAUGGCCAGUGGGCUUUUUGGCUAACGUUCACUGUGUCCUGUCCACAAGGUCACUGCCCACGUUUCCAGGACCCUGUUACCUCUGUCUGUGGUUGUUCAAGAAGCAUCGAGUUCCCUCCUCCCCACCCCGUGACCACCUCCCACUCUCCAACUCAGUGCUAGACCUUCAACCCCUUGACAGUAAGGGCAAUCUGCUCUCCUUCCUCCUUCAUCGUACUUCUCCCUCUGGCGGCUCCUUGCCGGCCCCCUUCCCACUUGCAUUGCCCAGCCCUUGGGAAUCCUGAACCAAUCUGCAAUUCCUCUUCCUAGAAUCCCUCCCCAAGAGUUCGGAUCACAUGUGAAACAAGUUUAGCCAUUGUGCAAAUGAGUUCCGUGGCCAAGUUCCUAACACAGUCUGGUAAAAGCCAAGGGUGGGACUGGGAAAACAAAGUCAGCCUGACAACCCCACGGCGAGUAGGAGGGUAGGAAGGCUGUGUGAUCCAGAGGGAAACACACCAGACUAGGAGUUGGACGACCUCUGGCCCAGUGCUGGAAGCGCUGUGGGUCACACAUCUCACAUCUGUGGGCUUUAGUACCCCCACAGAGGAGCAGGUGGGGAAGUCAGGACCAAAUCAAGCAUGGCAAAAAGAAGGCACAGGUGCCCUUGUGUACUCACCCCUCCCACAUUCAAGGCAAACAUCCUUGAUCAGUCAGUCCUUCUUUCCUGCAGAACCCAGACUACACCCAGCACUCCAGGCAGCCACCGUCCCGUAACUGGAGUUGGCACGGGCGACAAAAUCUCUUUGGUCCCCUUGAGCUACAGUCUAAAAUCUCCCUUAGUAUUUGAACAUUCUCUGCUUCUGGGACAUGAAUUUCCUCAAAGUACAAAUUUGCUGAUUGAUGAGCAUCCCCAGAAAACGGGGCAUCAGGGCUUCCUAGAAUCAGCCAGACACAACUACAGCCUAGUACCCUCUCAUACUGCAGCUCUGGGCAGACUCCGGGAUGGAGGCCAGCAUGCCACACAAAGGAAAACCGAUCCUAAAUGUAAGCCACAUCGGGGUGAAGCUGGCCCCAGCCCGUGCCCAUGCAGUGUGGGAUGGCCCUUUAAGGCUCAACACUGACUUUUUCUUAGGAUUUCCAAAGAACAUAUCCCAUGAGCCCCAUUUUGCCGUGGAUAACCAGACUAAUUCCACAGAUUCUGCUGGGCUAAGUUUUUCCUUAGUUGCUAGCUUCAGUGUCUGCUUUGGCCUUCUGCCUUGCCUGUGAAGCCCUGGCCCAGUCUACUGUAGAUUCCACACUCUGUGACCUUGACUCAACUCCAUCUCUGCCUCCAGCCAUCUUGGACUGACGUGGUACCCCUUUCCCCGCCAGACCCAGAACUGCCCUGGGUGGCCUCAUCUGCCCUCGGCCUUACAUCUGAAAUGCAGCCUCGAAAUGGAGUCUCCCCAGAUGCAGCUGACUUCUCACCAUUUUCCCCUUUGUCAUGCAAGUGACACCUAGCUCUGGGCACCCCAGAAAUGGUAACAACUCUCCUGGCCCUGCUGUGCCCAGGAAAUAGUGUUACCUUUCCUCCUCAACAGCCUUCAAUGCCAUCAGUAACUCCAUUUUCUUAUCUACAUUCCCUUACUUGGCUUCUCAGGACCUCUGUGACCAGCGAGUCCCACGUCCUUCCCAGUACAUUCCUUCCCUGAAGCCAUCCUGAUCUUCCUACUGGGCCACUAGCCCCCAAGGCUUCUUCUACUCUGGGCUUCCAGACACCAUGUUCCUCUGCCAGGAACUUCCUAUCUUCUUUUUCAGGCCCCAAAUCUACCAAUUCUUCACAAUCCCACUUACAUCCAACCUCCUCUGUGAGCCUUCCCUAGCCUAUGCCAGCCUGUUUUUCUCUAACAUUUCACUUUUUGCACCCAGCAAUCUAGUACUAAAUUACAUAUUACUUCACAGAAUUCACAAAUGUUUCAUCAGUGUCGGCCUUAACAUCUCAACCAGUGUGAAAGUUUUUUGAGGGCAAGAAGCUGCCACAUGACCUGAGGAGAUCUCACUGGUAACAUCACAGCAGAUCAACAAACACAACAAAUACUGAACACCCCUUCUAUGACAGAAUGCUUAGUAAAUGCUUGCUAACUCUUGGUUCUAACCACUGGGCGAGUCUACUGAGAUGUAUCCCUCUAGUCCUUGCCAAUUUAUGUCCAAUCCAGACCAUAGCAGAUCCUCCUGGUCCUGAAUUAAAGAAAAGGUUAAAGUAAGACAGAGCCCAGGAAAGUAUCUGCCUAUUAGGCUUCAGCAGUGGUUUUGAAACUUUUAAGUAUGAGGAGACAUCUGGCAUAGUUUCUAGAAGAGCAGAUUCCCCAGCUGUAUGGACACAGUCUCUGAAUCACAGGGUCUGGGGAGAGACCUGAAACGUGCAUUUUAAUAAGUGGCCUAGGUAAUUUGGAAGUUGACAGUUCAUCACCCAGAGAAAAAAUGGGCUACGUUUUCCAGAGACAAUCUGCAGUGGGUGGGCAAAGUUGAUUGGGGUGGCCUGUGGCUGAGAAUUUCCUUAGCCUUUUCCUUGUUAUGGUCUAACCGUGGUUACCAAAUCUCUGAGACGCUCCGCCAAAAGACCAUUUGGCCUCGAAGGAUCAUUUUUAUCUGCAGUGAUCUCCCUCCCAAAGGGCCUCUGCCUUUGGCCUGUCCUCACCGGAGGAAACCAGGCAACAAACCAUGCUCACUUAACCAGUUGCAGUGUGGGGUUUACAGGCCUUUUUAACUCCUGCCCUGAAUCAGAAUGGAAUUAUGAAUAAUUUGUCUGAGGCCUGUCUCAUCUUGUUUGAGUCUUUCUUCAGCUCAUAGUUUUCGUUAUUCGCCUUUCAAGCACUGAUAUGCCUGUUGACAUUAACAGCUCCAAGUCUGGAGUACUACAUAUGCAGCCUUACACAGAACCUCGCUUCUCAGAGCUGACCUCUCAGUACGCUCUCAUAUUUAUUACCCAACAUGUCAGCAGGAAGGAAACAAGGAGGCUUUGGGACAGGCAGGGGGCAGAGGCUGGUAGGGUGCCUCAACUCCCUUAGGUCCUGCUGGUACCUUGGCUGAGUAACUCUACUGUGUGUCCUAACACGUUAUAUACAGAUGCCUGAGGCCAAGUCAUUUUUCACAAUAACUUCUGAAGCAUUAUUAACACCCCUCCUGUUUAUACAUGGGGAUUUUGCAUGGUAAACAACUGUUCACAGAAAGAAGUGAAGUUAAAAAAACAAAAAACAAAAAACAAAACAAAAAAAACCUUGCCCCAAAGCAGAUUUAGUUAAACCAUCAGGUUCAAAAAGAAAGAACCUUGUAUAAAUGAUCCUCUAAGCCUCACUUAGAAUCUCUAUUUCAAGAAAAGCUGGAACCAAACAGGAGAAACAGUCUCUUGAGAUUUCCCCUGAGGCAGUGAAUGCCCCCCACCGCCACCGCCCCGUGGCACCCCCAGGCACAAGAGACAGCCUAGAGCACCAUCAGUGUUUCCUCAGAGACAAGAGAAUGGAAUCCAAGAUGCUCUGAAGAAUAAUAAAAGUCACAUGUUCUCUUGCUUCCUCCAAAACUUGAUUCCCACCCUGGGGGUCACAAUAAGCAUGUGCAAUGUUUACUGAAAAACUAAUUCUCA